UACGGAGGGGGCAAGCGUUGUUCGGAAUUACUGGGCGUAAAGGGCGCGCAGGCGGCUGCUCAAGUCAGGCGUGAAAGGCCUGGGCUCAACCCGGGAAUUGCGCUUGAGACUGGGCUGGCUUGAGUGCGGAAGAGGAGAGUGGAAUUCCUGGUGUAGCGGUGAAAUGCGCAGAUAUCAGGAAGAACACCAAUGGCGAAAGCAGCUCUCUGGGACGGUACUGACGCUGAGACGCGAAAGCGUGGGGAGCGAACAGG
rnacentral:rRNA from 1 species